UUUAAAUGUAAAAUUUUUUAUAAGUAGUAUUAGUUAAGUUCUUGAAAUUUAAAAAUUUUGGCGGUAUUUUAGUCUUUUCAGAGGAACCUGUUCUGUAAUUGAUAGUCCACGAUUAAUUAUACUUUAUUUAAAAAUUUGUAUAUCGUCGUUAUUAAGUAUUUUAUAAGAAUUAAAAUAUUUAAGAUUUUUAAUAAUAAAAUAUUUCAGAUCAAGGUGCAGUUUAUAGUAAAGUAGAAAUGGGUUACAAUAAAUUUAUUUAUAAUGGAAUUAAAUAUGAAAAUUUUAAUAAAGGAGGAUUUGUAAGUAAUAAAA
rnacentral:rRNA from 1 species